rnacentral:rRNA from 1 species
GCGGGUGGGACCCACGGCGAAUGGUUCAUCAAUGCUUCAAAAAAGAAUAUAUACGAUUGCAUUGCAUAUACUAACGGAUGCGAUCAUACCAGCACUAAUGCACCGGAUCCCAUCAGAACUCCGCAGUUAAGCGCGCUUGGGCGAGAGUAGUACUAGGAUGGGUGACCUCCCGGGAAGUCCUCGUGUUACAUCCCUCUUUUAUGUUUAACCUUUUUUUUUUGGUU